rnacentral:rRNA from 1 species
AUUGAACGCUGGCGGCAGGCCUAACACAUGCAAGUCGAACGAGUGGCGGACGGGUGAGUAAUGUCUGGGAAACUGCCUGGUGGGGGGGGAUAACUACUGGAAACGGUCGCUAAUACCCCAUACCAUCAGAUGUGCCCAGAUGGGAUUGGCUGGUGGGGGGGGAAACGGCUAACCAAGGCGACGAUCCCUAGCUGGCCUGAGAGGAUGACCAGCCAAACUGGAACGGGGACACGGUCCAGACUCCUACGGGAGGCAGCAGUGGGGAAUAUUGGAAAAGGGGGGCAAGCCUGAUGCAGCCAUGCCGCGUGUAUGAAGAAGGCCUUCGGUUUGUAAAGUACUUUCAGCGGGGAGGCGUUACCCGCAGAAGAAGCACCGGCUAACUCCGUGCCAGCAGCCGCGGUAAUAC